rnacentral:tRNA from 1 species
GUUCCUGUAGUUGAAUAACAACGAUGGCGUUUCAAGUCAUUAGUUCUGGUUAAAGUCCUGAUAGGAACU